rnacentral:lncRNA from 1 species
AAAAAAAGAAAAAAAAAUGGAAUCUAGCUUUAUAGUCACACAUUAAUUAAGUACCCACAAAAUGGUGACAGGAAAUUUCAUUUAGUCACAUCAAUGGAAACUGAAAGAAAGCAAUCAGACAGACCAGGGGAGAGAGGAAGAGAGAGAAAGAGACAGAGAGACAGAGAGAGACAGAGAAAGAGCGAGAUUCAAAUCCUUGACUAUCACUUAUUAGAUGAGUAAGCUUGGGCAAGUGAGGGAGUUCUUUGAGCCUCCUUUUUCUCAUCUGAUGUCAAUGAGAUUGCUUCUCCCUCUUUGCUUUUCUUUGAACCUUUAGUCCUAAAGAAAACAAAAGAGUUUCAUGUUUGAUCCAUUCCAUACAAAUAAUUCUUCCUGAAGCCAAAUGGGUAUAGAAGGCACCAGCAACUAUAGUAGAAAAAUCAGGGUACCCUAGUCUGGCCUGAAGCAAUGUGCUUUUCCAGGAUGUUCCCAUUCUAAAGAUGAGCAAGCAGAGAAAGAAGACCAGAAAAGACAGAGGGGUGAAAGACGUGGAAGUGUGUGUGAGCGUGAGUCCUGCUGUGUUUCAUGACAUGGACCUUCCUGGCAUUGGUCUGUAUGGCAGAAUUCCUUUUGGCUGGAGAGGAAUGGCAAUCGGGUAUGUGCAGGGGAAAGAAGAGUGAGAGGACAGCAUUGUCUCAGAGAUGGGUCACUGGCCACCUCCCUGGACUUGUGAAGGAGCCCCAUGGGAGAGGAGGCUGUGGGACUAUGCACAGUAGUCUCAGUGAUGGUGACAGUGGAGAAAGGGCUUGGCGGGGAGGACACCAAACAUCAAAGCAGACAGCAGAGCACGAGGAAGACACUUAUGUGCAAACAUAUGGCACUCUUGUGCACUUCUGGAAAUAACUGGGAGAGACUCUUCAUGGAAUUGGAAAUCCUAUAUUAAUAGCCUAGGGAAAAUCCUAAGAAACUUGGGUGGUUACUGUAAAAGAGACUCCAAUUACAGGAUAUUUAGAAACAUAUGUAGGCCAUGCACCCUAGAAAAAAAUGAUCGAGGGAGUCUCAGAUUUCUUACAAGGAAAAGAGAGGUAAGAGGAUUGGGUCAAGUUCAGCAAAAACUGUGUCUCUUCCAAUACUCUGGUUUUGGAAUUUCCUUGAGGCAGGAUGCAGGGCCUGUGACACCAACAGAGUGCUCCAGUAUCACAUGUUUUUGUGAUUUGAUUAUUAUGUAUUUACCUUUUCUUGGCCUGCCUCAUAUUAAAGAACUUCAACUUCAUAAUUUUUGUAAAGGAACUUUGGCAAGCAAACUAAUAGACUACUCACAAUUUACAUAAUCUUGCUUAAAAAUCAAUGUUGCAUUUGCAUUGAAUUCUCAAAUGUAAUUUAUACCAAAGAUAAGAUUUUCCCCAGGGAAAUCUAGCCUGAAAAAAAAAAAGAUGAAGUGGAGAGAGAGAGAGAAUGAAUUAGAUGAUGGAGCAGAAGAGCACAGAAGGUGAGGAGGAGGCCAGGACAUGGAAUGGGGCCAGGUCCGAAGGGUUCAGCAGGUGGUACCCACAGAAGCAAGAAAGAGGUCAUCCUGAGAAAUUCUCAGAAUACAGAAGGCAGGUGUGUUCAGCGGUCCUGAAUCCUUCAACAGGGGACACUGAAAAGGUCCCAAAUCAUAGAUUACAGGCUUGAGUCAGUUCCGGGCAUUCCAACAGGUCAGAGGGAGACAGGAUUCACAUCUGAGAACAUAUGCAGUUUCAGAUGGAUGUAAAUCAAGCACAGUGUAAUCUCUCCAUCUUGUUGGAGAAGAUGGUAGAGAAGGAAAUGGGAAACUUCAUCCAUGGGUCGGAAGCCAACUCUCAGGUCCCUGCUACUACAUCUGCCCAGAGAGUGACCAAGGAGUCCGGGACCUCAUCCACCUGCCCCUCGCUCUGUUACUCUUUUCAUGGAAAGAGUGGGUACCCUUAGGCACCACCUCAAAUCACCUUGGCCUGGCAUCUUUAUUUCAAUCACAGCUGCUGGGCAAUUAAUGCACGCAGGCUUGGACAAGCUUUCCUCAGGCUUCAUUUGCUUCCUUGGAGUUUUUUUGACGCCAUGGCAGGACACACCUGAAGAACUUCUCAGUAUGCACAGAUGCUCAGCUCCAACAUGGAGGGAGUCUGCACCCUGUGGGGAAGCCCUGGACCCAUUGGGGAUGGAGCCCAGGAUAAAUGUCUUCCCCUUUCUUACCCAGAGGACUCUAUGACAUUCCAUGUUUUCUCAGGGGAUCCUAUGCCAUGAAGUGGCUCUUGACAAUGCAAGUGUGUCUUUGCAUUGGCUUUCUUUCUUUCCUCCUUUCUUCCACUCUCCCUGUCCCUUAGUCUUGCUCCCUGGAAUCACCCUCCCAAAUAAACUACUCUCACAUAUGCCUUUAUCUCAGUCUCUACUCUGGGGUAACUCAGGCUAGGGAAAUAACACACUGAGAGUAAGAAGCAGUUGAGGAUCAUUCCCCUGGAAGAGCUUCUUGCACUUAGCACAUCACUGUAGAGAGCAGGGGUAGGCGGGGCCCCAGUACAAACAGUGAGGUCACUUUCCCCGUCCUUUUCUCUGGAGGGGUGGCAAAGGCGGGGGCACAUAUCUCCCCGGUUAAUGAUAUUCCUUUUCCUUUCCUUUCCUUUCCUUUCCUUUCCUUUCCUUUCCUUUCCUUUCCUCGUCUCGUCUCUUUUUUUCUUGUCUUCUUUUCUUUUGCUUUUUCAGGCUGCACCCUUGGCAUAUGGAAGAUGGAAGUUCCCAGGCUAGGGGUCGAAUUGGAGCUACAGCUGCUGGCCUAGGCCACAGCCUCAGCCAAUGCCAGACCUGAGAUGUGUCUGUGAUCUACGCCACAGCUCAUGGCAAUGCAGGGUCCUUAACCCACUGAGUGAGGCCAGGGAUCUAACCCACAUCCUUGUAGAUACUAGUCAGAUUUGUUUUUGCUGUGCCACAACAGGAACUCCCAACAGGCAGUUCCUCUGACCUUCAGAGAUGAUUUCACCUAAAGAAAAGGCUUUGGGGGUUAAAAUCCCACACAAUUCUCUAGCCCAAAGACUCUGAGUUUCUUCAGGACUUAGUUUUAAGACACAGUUUACAGAUCUGCUCACUGACUCGGUCUCCUGCCCCUGGAUGCAGACUGAUCCAUCAAUGUUCCCAUGAAGCCUGUCUCCUGAGCACUGAGCAUUGCACUGGGUACAGCCUGACUAAAGCAAAUGCAGGCGAAUUCUGGCCUCUUGUCAUGGAGAUUCAGUUCUUGGUCAAAUAAUUGGGUCCUGGAUUGGAGAAUGCAGGUCCUUUGCUUUCAGGAAAUUCAAUUACAGUGUUGGAAGCGCUAAUUACCUGCUUUAAAAACCAACAUUAUUAGCCAAGAAUAAUUAUUACUGCAAGGAAGUGAAAACAAUCAGGAAGGAGCACAUCUUAGAGCCACCUUCAAUUCCAGCUUUCCUCCUAGCAGAGGGGGGAGCUCACAAAUCCCCUACUUUCCUCUCUAUUAAGGAGGAAGUCCUCAACCGCCAGCAAUCUGCUCCUGAAUCCCAUUUAUAUUUCUUACCUUUGGUGUGAAUAGUAAUUAGACAGAGUGACAAAAACACAACAUGUGGUGGUUCAAACAACUUUGGAGUUUGUUAUUUUGAACUCAUUUUCCAGCUAUAAAUAAUUUUUGGCUUUUGAGUGAGUUACGGUUGGUGGGUAAAGUGUGUGAAGUGUAUGCAUGUGUGUAGUGGGGGUGGGUGGCAUAAUGAGGCUUCAUGGUUACCAUGACGACACCACAAGAGUCCCCUGGCAACCUGAAUGGUGUAUGCGCACAAAGGGGGUUUGGAAAAUCAUACAAAUGAAAUCAGAGGGGGUUACACAUUCCCAAAUUGGAAAACUAUGUUUCCUUAAAUACCGCUACCAUCUGGGCACAUUCUCUUUUAAGAUUCUGUACUCCAGAUGCAUUUUUGUCAAACAAAGCUGAGUUAUCUUUAGUAAUAUAAGAUUAAAGAAGCAACGACUACAUGUAACAAUUCUAAGGAAACCUGGGAAUUGGCUGCAUGGUAGUGUUUGAUCUGGCUGGCAUCAUUGAGGUCUCACGCCAAUAAAAUCUCCCCUUCUUGGGAGCUACCUUGUUGGAUGAGAGAGGAUGAACUGGACAGCAUGAAGAUUCCCAACAUCCUCCCUUAAUCCACCUCCAGGACUGCACCUUACACAUCUCUCGUGGGCCUGCCUGGGCUCCCAGCUGUGGGGAGAGAUAGCAAAAGGAAGGAUGAGGGCAAUGAACCAUUGACUUUGGGCCUCAGCUUGUAUAUCCAUGGAUGGUCAGGUUUGGAGUAAAACAUUGUCCAGAUAUUUGCUUUUCACUUUACAUCCUCAUUAAUUACAAAUGUUAUCAGAGGUCCAUUGGUUGGACCAGAGGCUUUUCGCACCACAGCGCAAGGGGCCUCCAAUCCACUCACCAGUGAAACUGGUGGAAAUUACUAACUGGUGGAAUUCACCCCCAACCAGGUGAAACUCCUGGAGGAGUUCCCAUUGUGGCACAGUGGGUUAAGGAUCUGACUGCAGUGACUUGGGUUGCUGGGGAGGUGUGGGUUUGAUCCUUGGCCCAGUACAGCGGGUUAAAGGAUCUGGUGUUGCUGCAGUUGUAGCAUAGGUUGCAGCUGUGGCCUGGAUUUGAUCCCUGGCCCUGGAACUUCCAUAUGCCAUAAGUGAGGCCAAACAAACAAAAAACCAAAAAAACAUAUCCUAUGAGCUAACAACAAAUAAAAAGCAUUAUUACAAGAAAAUCUAUGAAAAUUUGAAUAAAAAAGGUGAGUUUGUAGUAUUGAACUAAGACCACUCUCUUUCUCAUCACUCUUGCUCAACACAAGGCUCCCUCUCCCCUUGCUUCUGGUUGAGGGCUUUCUUACCAGGGAGAGAACAACUUCAGCAUUUCUCAUUUUGCUCCCCAACUACCUGAGGCCGAGGCUAAGUCCCAGGUGAGUGUGGUUGGAGGUGGGGCUCCCUUCUUCAGCCCAGUCCCCUCCUGUGGGACAAUGUUCUACCUUGGACGUGCUAUGUUGUGAUUACUGGGGUCUUUUUGCCUUUGCCAGGGCUAGUGAGGUGGUGGUUCCAUACCAGGAGAGGCAAGCUGAGAGGACUUGUUUGUACCUCCCUCUCAACCCCCAACAUAUGGUCAGCAAAUAAAGCAGGUUGUCACUCCAUAGCAAAGCUGGCCAUUUUUCUCACCUCCAGCUUCAGAGAUGUGGCUCUCAGGAUUUUGCCUGGGAGAGAGGCAGGCCAUAAAAGAGAUAGCUCCCAAACUCUUCCCCAAAGAACUGACUUCAAUUACAAUAGAGUCUGGAGAAGUUCAAACCCAAGGACACUCUCAAGAAUAGUGAAGGUUGAGGUGAAAGGCAAUUGGGUGGAGAUUCAUGGAUUUGCUGAAGAUACAUUUUAGGCUAUAGGCAGAUUACUUUGCAGGAGAGAACUGGGGGAUAAGACAGAUGGGAGGAGUCCUCCUGGGGUCAGAACAAACAUGAACAUCAGAAACUGUUUCCAAAGAAGUCACAGUUUGAUUGGAUUAGUUUAUAGAGCAAUGUAUGCCCCAAGGCAGUAAAUUACUCAUUGUAAUCAGUAGGCAAUUAGUAGAGUUUAACAGCUGGGUGAGGUUGGGAAAAGAGAAAGUGAGUCUUGACUACACCAUUGUGAUCUUAGGGUGACAAUGGGCAUCUGCUUAUCUGUACCUCCCUGAGAGACAACGCAAGAGACUUAAUACUCCGUGUUUUGGGGAAAAUGGACUUCAUUAAAACCUAAUUAGUCACUAAAAAGUGAACAAGUGUCAAUGAAAAGUUGAUUGAUUAUCUAAAAAAGAACUGGAAAAUUCUAUUUGAGCCAAAUUGAGGAUUAUAACCCAGGAAGAGCAUCUCAGAAAGCUCUGAGAACCAUUUGACUGUUAGAAGUCAGGGCACAGUUCUAUAAGUUUUUUGAGACAGGGAACCAGUGUAUUAAAUGAUACAUUAUUGACAGUUUACAUUAUCCAGGUCUAAGCUGCCCCAGACCAGAUCAAGAAGGAAUGUUAUCUUUUAAGUGGUUCUCUUGUUGGUGACAGGAGAACGUUGCUUUUAUGGUUGAGCAAGUAUUUCUGCCAGUAGGGGAGGCUUGGUCAAUACAUAAUGCAGAUACACAAUGCAAAGAGGGGGAUAGAGGAGGACAGAGGGCUAAAUUCUUCUUGUAUUAAAUUCUUCUUGUAUUGCCAUAAAAUAUGACUUUUAUUUUACAUAAGCAAAUAAUGAAAACAAGCCUUGGAGGGGGAUACCAGGCCCAGGGUUGUUACAAUAUAUAAUCUGAAAUGUCUAGUUACCAACAACAAUUAUGAGGCAUAUAAAGAAAUAGGAAAAUAUGACCAUACACCAGGAAAGAAGAAGACAAAUAGAAACUGCUUGUGAGAAUCACCAAAUGUCAGCUUUAACAGCAACUAAUGUCAAAGUAGCAUUAUAAAUGUGAUCAGAGAAUUAAAGAAAACUGUGAGUUAAGAGGUAAAGGAAGGCAUGACAGCACAUCUGAGAGUUACGCUGUGCUCUCUGAAAGAAGAAAAUAAUACUACCCAACUUAUAAUUUUUUUCGAGGGCUAAUUGCAGUAUUGUAUAAACACCCCCUCACCAUGUAGUACAUAAUCAAUGGCUAUUAACUUGCUUUACAAAAGCUUUCAUGGAAUAUGUGAUUCUUUUAUGUUCAAAAUCUCAUAUAUCACUGGUCAAGUUGAUCAAAAAGGAUAUAUGCAAUAAUUAAAUUUUUUUUCAGAUCCUGCUGUAUACCACUGGGAACUAUAUCUAGUCACUUAUGAUGGAGCAUGAUAAUGUAAGAAAAAAGAAUGUAUAUAUGCAUGUGUGACUGGGUCGCCUCGCUGUACAAUAGAAAAUUGACAGAACACUGUAAACCAGCUAUAAUGGAAAAAA